rnacentral:rRNA from 1 species
GGUCAAGUGAAGAAGCGCAUACGGUGGAUGCCUUGGCAGUCAGAGGCGAUGAAAGACGUGGUAGCCUGCGAAAAGCUUCGGGGAGUCGGCAAACAGACUUUGAUCCGGAGAUCUCUGAAUGGGGGAACCCACCUAGGAUAACCUAGGUAUCUUGUACUGAAUCCAUAGGUGCAAGAGGCGAACCAGGGGAACUGAAACAUCUAAGUACCCUGAGGAAAAGAAAUCAACCGAGAUUCCCUUAGUAGUGGCGAGCGAACGGGGAUUAGCCCUUAAGCUUCAUUGAUUUUAGCGGAACGCUCUGGAAAGUGCGGCCAUAGUGGGUGAUAGCCCCGUACGCGAAAGGAUCUUUGAAGUGAAAUCGAGUAGGACGGAGCACGAGAAACUUUGUCUGAACAUGGGGGGACCAUCCUCCAAGGCUAAAUACUACUGACUGACCGAUAGUGAACCAGUACCGUGAGGGAAAGGCGAAAAGAACCCCGGAGAGGGGAGUGAAAUAGAACCUGAAACCGUAUGCGUACAAGCAGUGGGAGCCUACUUGUUAGGUGACUGCGUACCUUUUGUAUAAUGGGUCAGCGACUUAUAUUCAGUGGCAAGCUUAACCGUAUAGGGUAGGCGUAGCGAAAGCGAGUCUUAAUAGGCGUUUAGUCGCUGGGUAUAGACCCGAAACCGGGCGAUCUAUCCAUGAGCAGGUUGAAGGUUAGGUAACACUGACUGGAGGACCGAACCCACUCCCGUUGAAAAGGUAGGGGAUGACUUGUGGAUCGGAGUGAAAGGCUAAUCAAGCUCGGAGAUAGCUGGUUCUCCUCGAAAGCUAUUUAGGUAGCGCCUCAUGUAUCACUCUGGGGGGUAGAGCACUGUUUCGGCUAGGGGGUCAUCCCGACUUACCAAACCGAUGCAAACUCCGAAUACCCAGAAGUGCCGAGCAUGGGAGACACACGGCGGGUGCUAACGUCCGUCGUGAAAAGGGAAACAACCCAGACCGCCAGCUAAGGUCCCAAAGUUGUGGUUAAGUGGUAAACGAUGUGGGAAGGCUUAGACAGCUAGGAGGUUGGCUUAGAAGCAGCCACCCUUUAAAGAAAGCGUAAUAGCUCACUAGUCGAGUCGGCCUGCGCGGAAGAUGUAACGGGGCUCAAACCACACACCGAAGCUGCGGGUGUCACGUAAGUGACGCGGUAGAGGAGCGUUCUGUAAGCCUGUGAAGGUGAGUUGAGAAGCUUGCUGGAGGUAUCAGAAGUGCGAAUGCUGACAUGAGUAACGACAAUGGGUGUGAAAAACACCCACGCCGAAAGACCAAGGGUUCCUGCGCAACGUUAAUCGACGCAGGGUUAGUCGGUUCCUAAGGCGAGGCUGAAAAGCGUAGUCGAUGGGAAACAGGUUAAUAUUCCUGUACUUCUGGUUACUGCGAUGGAGGGACGGAGAAGGCUAGGCCAGCUUGGCGUUGGUUGUCCAAGUUUAAGGUGGUAGGCUGAAAUCUUAGGUAAAUCCGGGGUUUCAAGGCCGAGAGCUGAUGACGAGUCGUCUUUUAGAUGACGAAGUGGUUGAUGCCAUGCUUCCAAGAAAAGCUUCUAAGCUUCAGGUAACCAGGAACCGUACCCCAAACCGACACAGGUGGUCGGGUAGAGAAUACCAAGGCGCUUGAGAGAACUCGGGUGAAGGAACUAGGCAAAAUGGCACCGUAACUUCGGGAGAAGGUGCGCCGGCUAGGGUGAAGGAUUUACUCCGUAAGCUCUGGCUGGUCGAAGAUACCAGGCCGCUGCGACUGUUUAUUAAAAACACAGCACUCUGCAAACACGAAAGUGGACGUAUAGGGUGUGACGCCUGCCCGGUGCCGGAAGGUUAAUUGAUGGGGUUAGCGCAAGCGAAGCUCUUGAUCGAAGCCCCGGUAAACGGCGGCCGUAACUAUAACGGUCCUAAGGUAGCGAAAUUCCUUGUCGGGUAAGUUCCGACCUGCACGAAUGGCGUAACGAUGGCGGCGCUGUCUCCACCCGAGACUCAGUGAAAUUGAAAUCGCUGUGAAGAUGCAGUGUAUCCGCGGCUAGACGGAAAGACCCCGUGAACCUUUACUGUAGCUUUGCACUGGACUUUGAGCCUGCUUGUGUAGGAUAGGUGGGAGGCUUUGAAGCGUGGACGCCAGUUCGCGUGGAGCCAUCCUUGAAAUACCACCCUGGCAUGCUUGAGGUUCUAACUCUGGUCCGUAAUCCGGAUCGAGGACAGUGUAUGGUGGGCAGUUUGACUGGGGCGGUCUCCUCCUAAAGAGUAACGGAGGAGUACGAAGGUGCGCUCAGACCGGUCGGAAAUCGGUCGCAGAGUAUAAAGGCAAAAGCGCGCUUGACUGCGAGACAGACACGUCGAGCAGGUACGAAAGUAGGUCUUAGUGAUCCGGUGGUUCUGUAUGGAAGGGCCAUCGCUCAACGGAUAAAAGGUACUCCGGGGAUAACAGGCUGAUACCGCCCAAGAGUUCAUAUCGACGGCGGUGUUUGGCACCUCGAUGUCGGCUCAUCACAUCCUGGGGCUGAAGCCGGUCCCAAGGGUAUGGCUGUUCGCCAUUUAAAGUGGUACGCGAGCUGGGUUUAGAACGUCGUGAGACAGUUCGGUCCCUAUCUGCCGUGGACGUUUGAGAUUUGAGAGGGGCUGCUCCUAGUACGAGAGGACCGGAGUGGACGAACCUCUGGUGUUCCGGUUGUCACGCCAGUGGCAUUGCCGGGUAGCUAUGUUCGGAAAAGAUAACCGCUGAAAGCAUCUAAGCGGGAAACUUGCCUCAAGAUGAGAUCUCACUGGGAACUUGAUUCCCCUGAAGGGCCGUCGAAGACUACGACGUUGAUAGGCUGGGUGUGUAAGCGUUGUGAGGCGUUGAGCUAACCAGUACUAAUUGCCCGUGAGGCUUGACCAU